CCCUUCAACUGUUACUGCCGUGUCCAUGGAAACCAAACGACGAGGAGAAAGCAGCGCGCGGCCAUCUUCUUUACCUUCCCUCUUCCACGGCGUCCAGAACUCGCAAAAUCCCCCUCACCUGAAUCACCACCGCACAGGAACAGCCCCGCGCUCAAGCUCUUCGCUCUCCUCCAGCGUCGCCGCAGCCAGAGCUGAAAGCGGAGUGCUGCGGUAUCAUUUCACGCGGCACAGGAAGUGUUCUCCUCCCAACCAAUCGCGCAGCACCCUGAAUGCUCGUCACUCCCCUGUCACUCGGCGACACUAGCCCCGCCCCUAUGGUGGGCAGUAAGACGGAAAGGGGCCCGAACAGUUUUUAAAGGGCCAGAGUACUCCUAAGGCACGCUUUGCUGGGGAGAGAAUGCAGAUAAGGUUUGACGUUUUGCCCCGGCGAGCUACCACGGCGAAGGGUGGCAAGCUUCCCAAGGGGAGGAGCCAUUCGCAGAACGGGCAGAUCGCCGAAGAACAGGAGCGUGCCUGUUUGUUGCCUGCUACAACUGGCAAUUCUUUCCUGAAAGGGAAGGAACCCUCAGAAAAAAAAUUUUUUUGAAGUUGAAAAGUCGUGCAGGCGGGAAGAUGUGCCGGCGGGAUAUGCAAAAAUAAUGACAUGGAGGCCAGGGUGGCGGGUACAUCUGUCCAGGAAGAUGGUGAUCAACCAACUCUGGAGGAUAUUAUACAUUCUGUCUUGAAAGAUAAGGAGCGCUAUUAGUCUUUCUUCUUUGAGGCUCAGAAAGCCGAGGUGGGUGGGUUAUGAAUUAAUCCAAAUAAGAAGGGGAGAUCCCACCAUUAAUUGGCUACCUCUUGAACUUGAAGCCAAUCCACUUUACUAUAGGGCUCUCUCAUUUUUAAAAACUCAGUCCACAACGAAUGUGAAACAUUGAUAACCCUUUUUAUAAAGCAACGCUAACAGUUUGGAAAAGAUGGGCUCGUCAGCGCCCCAUGAUUCUCCAGUGCUUCCUUUUCUGAAUCAGACAGACUAUCAGGAGGUUGGUGAACAACUGGCAUGGAAACCCACACACCUGAGAAACCACUACUAAAAAUGGACCCAUACAGUAGACACCAGCAUCAGAGAACAAAGAAAAAAGAUGAGUCUCUGACCUUCACAGAGGAUUCGGGGAUGAUGCAACUGGCUGAUUACACUCACCAAAAGAUACAUAUCACAAACACUUUACCACUUGUAUAAGCCAACCAUCAAAAUGUGAAAAUGUGAAAAAGGUGGCAAUGGGGAAGAAAUGUUCCUUCAACCAGCUCUUAUUAUCGAAAAUACUGACUCCUGAAGUCAUCUCCAAGCCAUUAGGCUGCCCUGACUCGGUUUAAUAAUAUCCAGCAUCCUCUUGUGGAAAACAUCAGAAAGGAUGACAUUGGCAGCUAAUGAAGAUGGUACCAACUGUUUGCUGUGCUGAGAAGCCUGCUAAGGAAGAAAUUCGGGAGAAGACAAGGAAGGAGAAAGGUGAGACAGUAAAGGUACAAGGAAGUAAGAAAAAACACCUGAGAGGAGCAAGUGGGUACUGCUCCAGGAAAGGGAGGAAAUGCAACCAAGGUUCAGUACAGGGAAAGUCUUCAAGCAAAAUAAAAAAAUGCUGAUCUCGCAUCCUGCUGAGCAAAGUAAGAAGAAACAUAUAGUCCCUUUUCUAAGGGAUGACAAAAAGAGCUGUGCAGUUGAAGCCUAUUUCAAUAAAUAACUUUUUCUAAUUUGACUUACUAUUUUGGAGCCAGCACAAACCAAUGUAGGGC